AUUCUGUCAAGUUUUUCGAUUUCUCUGAAAGUCAAGUCCUAUUUUAUAUUUUAUUUUUGUCAUUUUGGUUGAAGUUAUCUAUUUGAGUUUCAUGAAAAUCCUAAUUUCAUAAUUUUAUUAGAUUUAUAUUACAGCUUUCGUAAAUGGCCCCCUCAUAUUUUUACUAUUUUCAAGUAAUGACUCUGCCUAUCCCAUGGAAAUAUUUCUGUUCGAAAUUGUAGGGAGACGGAAGUAUAGAGGUAAAGACUUGAAAGAAAGGCACAAAAGGCAUGCAUCUCAUGGUAAGUUGCUAAUCUUUAUAUAUGAUUUUCUUAUGUUUUGUGUCCCGAAUAGUCUGUUGUUAUAUUUAAUCGGUAGUGUAUGGAGUGGAGUCGGGCUCUCAUAUACCGUAUUUGUGUUUUAGACACUGGAUCCACACUUACUGUAUUUGGCAAUUGCUUACCGUAUUUGGCAGUGCAACUCACAGUAUUUAACAGUGCAACUCACCGUAUAUGGCAGCUUACUGCAUUUGCAGGCUAAGCUCACUGUAUUUGCACAAAAAUUUGCAUAAAGUGUUUUUAUUCAUACACUAUCUAAAAUAACACAAAUUUUUCCACUUACAAAUAGAAAUACCGUAUAUGUGAAAUCUAUUUUUCACACAUAUAACGAAUUAGAAAAAAAAGUUUAUUUUAUUUAUCUCUUUCUAACAUAAAUUUCAAGUAUGUUGCAAAUUAAAUAAAUAAAUCUGCAAAAUUGCAAACUAAAUAAUAGCAGAUAUAAUUUCAACCCGAGGCCUGUGUAAACACAGUUUUCUUAAGACAAAUUCGCCCGCUCUUUGUGGUGCUAAAUGUUUAGUUCGAGUGCCUGUCUCCAAGUAUACAACGGUAACCAGCAGAAUCCGAGCAUCGCGAUUUUAUUCCGGCGAACUGGGCGAGUGUUCGAACAAUAUCACAUUACUGGAAUGAGAUGGAACAAAAUAGAAAACAGGCUAGAAAUUGUAGACGAAAAUUUUCAAUGCAUGAACUGUUGGAAAUUAAGUGAAUUAUAUAGACUGAAUCUAACAAUUAGUUUUCUGCAUUAACCAUUGCAGGUUUUGGAGUUACACUUCGAUUUCGACCAUUGGAAUUUUAGGAGUUUCAAAAACUCAAAAGUCAUUUGAAAAAAGCACAAAAAAAUUGCAAAACGCGGACAGUCCAAACUGGCCAGUUUUUGCUCCGUUCGGUCCGACAUUCAUGUGCGUAGGUCGCGCCCGCACUCAAGUUCAAGGUUUGAAGGCUAUUUCUGUCCGUGAUUUGCACCCGCUGCGCGCGCACGUGGAGAGAGCAUCUAUGCUACACAUGAUCACACUAUUCCAAUGCAUAUCCAUAUACAAAGUGGUUUUGGUUUCAACGUUUUUCCUAUAUGGGACAGUUUUCCCACCAACAUAGACCAUUUCCAAUGGUCCACUUUAGACUCCAAUUUCUCAUUCAUCCGAGCUUCAUUUUUGACAAAUAAAUACUUAACUUUGAUGUUCUCGCGGAAGAGAACAUAUAUCAACUUUGAUAUUCCAAAUUGGACCAACGGGUCCCACCGAAAAUUGUGCCAAAAGUGAGCCAAUUCACUCUUUUUUCAACAAUCCCCUACAUGAAUGAAAAUUGGAAGAGACACGAAACGUGAGAUAUAAGACUUGGUGAUAAAGUUCAACGGUUGAAGCCUGCAUAGUAUAGGUAGGUGUUACCCUUUGAACAUUCCCUUGUGAAAGCAUAUUUACUUUACUGGCUGACUAGUAGACGUGAUAUCUUUGAAUUGUUCUGCCAUUUGUGUAAAUGAUGAUAUACUUCAUAUAGGAUUCUUCCUAAAACCCUUCAGUUCUCAUUAUUAUGUUCGUUUUGGCCAUGAAUAUAUGCCUGAUUUUGUGAGAGUUUCUAAGAAUUGAGCCCCACACAAUUCUCUUAGAAGCGGCCCUACUUCGUUCUCACAUAGAUGAUUUCUUAUUACAAGUAACCCACAUUAAUUGGCUCAAUUUUCGACAUGUAAGAAUCAUUGAAAGCCUAUUGCUUAACCUUCAUCCUUACGGACAUUACUGUUCUGUCAUAGGAAUGGACAGGAGGUGAUACACCCACAGUGAUUUUAUCAAGUCUUUACAGUUAGGUUGUCCCUUUGAACCUAGAUCUUGGGAUCUCCAGUCAACUAGGUUGGGUUUCCUUCGUAAUGACUUAUUCUUUCAAGGGCUUGAGUCUCAUUCCUUUCGAUGAUUUCCCAACUAACUCUCUAUUUAACCCUUUGGUUAGUGGAUCUACAAUGUUAUCCUUUGACCUAACAUAAUCAAUUGUGAUAACUCCAGUUAAGAGUAGUUGUCUAAUGGUAUUGUGUCUACGACAUAUAUGUCUAGACUUACCAUUAUACAUGUUAUUCUGUGCCCUUCCUAUUGCUGAUUGACUGUCACAAUAUAUGCAAAUUGCAGGCAUAGGUUUGGACCAUCUUGGAAUAUCCUCUAAGAAGUUGCGCAACCAUUUGGCCUCUUCACCAUAUUUAUCUAGGGCUAUAAACUCAAAUUCCAUUGUAGAUCUGGCUAUAACUGUUUGCUUAGAGAAUUUCCACGAGAUGGCAGCACCUCCCAAAGUGAACAUAUAUCCAUUGGUGGACUUUGAGUCUUUUAUAUUAGAUAUCCAAUUAGCAUCACUGUAUCCUUCAAUGACCGCUGGAUGUCUAGUGUAGUAUAUUCCAUAGUCACGAGUAUAUCUUAAGUACCUCAGUACUCUUACUACACCUUUCCAGUGAUCAUUUCCUGGAUUACUCGUAUAUCUACUCAAUUUACUGACUGUGUAGGCUAUGUCUGGUCUUGUACAACUCAUUAAAUACAUUAGACUUCCAAUAACUUUUGAGUAUUCUACUUGAGAGAUACUUUCACCUUUGUUUUUAGAAAGAUGUUGACUUGUAUCUAUUGGUGUUCUAGCCAAGCUAGUAUCGUCCUUGUUGAAUUUUUUCAAAAUUUUGUCCACAUAAUGUGACUGGCUUAGAACAAGCCCAUCUGAUAUUUCUUGAGAUUUUGACUCCAAAUAUAACAUCAGCUAAACCCAUAUCUUUCAUAUCAAAUCUCGAAUUUAAUAUAUUUUUAGUGGAUUCAAUCAUCUUAUUGUUACUACCAACAAUAAGCAUGUCGUCAAUGUAAAGACAUAAAAUUACAUAGUCAUCUUUAGUGUCUUUGACAUUCACACAUUUGUCACAUUCAUUAAUUUUAAAUCCACUCUCUAUCAUGACAUUGUCAAAUUUUUUAUGUCAUUGUUUUGAUGUUUGUUUCAAGCCAUAUAUUGAUGUCACCAAUUUACAGACUUUCUUUUCCUGUUCUGUGAUGAAAACCCCUCAGUUGUUCCAUGUAAAUUUCUUCUUCUAAAUCUCCAUUUAGAAAAGCCAUUUUAAAAUCAAUUUGAUGUACUUCUAGAAUUCGUAAAACAGAAAUCGCAAGUAUCACCUUAAUAGAUGUUAUUCUCAUCACUGGAGAAUACGUAUCAAAAUAAUCAAGGCCUUCCCUUUGUUUGCAACCUUUUAUUACUAAUCUGGCCUUAUACUUUUCGAUAGUUCUAUAUGCUUUCAUUUUCCUUCUGAAAAUCCAUUUGUAGCCUAGUGGUUUACAUCCAUUAGCUCCCAUGUAUGAUUUUGCAGUAUGGAAUCUAUUUCACCUUUAAUGGCAUCUUUCCAUUAAGGUCCUUUCGAGGAAUUUACAACUUCUUGAUAGUUUUGAGGUUCGCUUUCUAGCAUAUAGGUCAGAAAAUUAGGACCAUAAGACUUUUCUGUCAUUUCCCGUUCGCUGUGUCUAACCUCAGUCUCCUCUUUUAAUUCUUCGUCCUGACUAUUUUCAAUUAUUGUCUCAUAUGUUCUUUUAGAGGAGCUGGCUUCCUCUUUGGACUUGUAUGGAAAUACUUCUUCAAAGAAUGAAGCAUUCCUCAAUUCCAUUAUCAUGUUUUUGUGUAUGUCUGGAAUUUUUUAAUCAUACACAAGAAAUCGAUAAGCACUGCUAUUACGUGCAUAGCCAAUGAAAACACAGUCUAUAGUUUUCGAGCCUAUCCUUACCUUCUUUGGUGUUGGAACAACCACUUUUGCAAGACACCCCCACACUCGCAAGUGUUUAUAGGUAGACUUUCUUCCUUUCCAUAACUCAUAAGGAGUCUUUUUCGAUUUCUUUCGGGGCACCUUAUUUAAAAGGUAAUUUGCUGAUAACACAGUUUCCCCCUACAUGUUCUGAGGCAACCCAGAACUUACUAGCAUUUCAUUCAUCAUUUCUUUUAAAGUACAUUUUUUUCAUUCAGCUACACCGUUUUGUUGCGGUGUAUAAGGUGUGGUGAUUCCAUGUUGUGUACAGAAAUCGGUAAAUGAUGCUCCAUACUCAACACCUCGAUCACUCCGUAGUACUUUAAUUUUCUUAUUAAGUUGAGUUUCAAUUCAUUCUUACAGAGAACAAAUUUCUUUAUAGCUUCAUCCUUGCUUUUAAGCAGAUACACAUAACAGUAUUUUGUGCCAUCGUCGACAAAAGUAACAAAAUACAUGUUGCCACCUCUUGUUUGUACAAGUUUUAAGUCACAAAUAUCACUGUGAAUUAAAUCAAGUAGUUCUGUGUUACGUUCAACUGACUUAAAGGACGACCUUGUCAAUUUUGUCUCAAUACAAGUUUCACACUUAUGUUCGGAAUCAUUAUAGAACAUGGGUAUGCAAUUCGAGUUAACUAGUCUACGUAGAGUAUCAUAGUUAACAUGUCCUAGUCUAUCACGCCACAAACUGGAAAACUCAAGCAAAUAAGCAGAAGAAUUUGCUUUAUUCAUUUUUGGUUUCACAACCAUUACAUUCAGCUUAAACAUACCAUCAGAAACAUAACAUCUUCCGAUAAACAUUCCACUUUUUGAUAGAAUGGCUUUGUCUGGCUCAAAUACAAUGCGAAAACCAUGUUUAUUCAAAAGCGAUCCGGACACUAAAUUCUUACGAAUUUUCGGCACAUAUAGCACAUUAUUGAGAGUCAGCUCCUUUCCCCGAGGUCAUCUUUAGAACCGCCUUUCCUUGACCCUUGGUUUCAGAGGUUGCUGAAUUUCCCAUGAACAGCUUCUCCCCGUUCUCAAUUGCUUUGAACGCAGUAAAUAGCUCUUUAUCAUAGCACACAUGCCUUGUAGCACCGAUGUCAAUCCACCACUCCUUAGGGUUUGAACCCACCAUGUUCACUUUAGAAAUGACGGCUGCGAGAUUCAUUUCAGAAACAUCUUGUGCUAUGUAGUCAAUCAUAUUUGCUUCUUUCGUCUUCUUCUUUGGCAUUUUGCACUCCGAAGACUUGUGGCCUACUUUAUCACAAUUGAAGCACUUCCAUUGCAAUUUCGGUCCGUGCUUGGUCUUUUUUCCAUUGGAUGGCCCAAACUUGUUUUUGUAACUCUUACUGCUUUGACCAUGCUCCACAACAUUGGCUUUAGUAACACUAGGAUUGAACCACUUCUUUUCUGAACUUUUGUUGUCUUCUUCAAUUCGAAGUCUAAUAAUAAGUUCUUCAACGUUCAUUUCCUUUCGUUUGUGUUUAAAAUAGUUUUUGAAAUCUUUCCAUGCAGGGGGGGGGGCAAUUUUUCAAUAAUUGCUGCCACUUGAAAGGUUUCACUCAACACCAUUCCUUCGGCAUGAAUUUCGUCAAGAAUCACUUGGAGUUCUUGCACUUGACUUAUUACAGUUUUGGAGUCCACCAUCUUAUAGUCUAGGAAUCUACCGAUUAUAAACUUUUUAGCCCCGGCAUACUUAGUUUUGUAUUUUCGAUCUAAAGACUCCCACAACUCCUUAGCAGUUUUCAUCGUGUUAUACACAUUGUAUAGCGUGUCUGCUAAACUAUUCAUAAUGUAGUUUCGGCAUAAAAAGUUCGAAUGCUUCCAAGCAUCAAGUGCACUGACUGCUUGAAUAACUCAUUCUCCUUCAUUGAGUACAGGAGCAGUCUCAGUCAAGAAUCUUGCAAGAUUCAAGGUGGUCAGGUAAAACAACAUUUUCUGCUACCACCUCUUGAAAUUCAAGCUAUUGAAUUUCUCCGAUUUCUCUCCAUGAUUAACCUGAACAGUAACCGUUUGGCCAGUUGUUGGAGCCACAGUUUGACUCACAACACGACUAGGCAAGUUAGCCAUAGCAGAGCUUGGCCCUUGAGCCAUAGUAGAGUCCACAACUUCAUUUCUAGCAGAAACAGUUUGGGUCACAUCCAUGUUAGUUGGUUCGGCAGCCAUUUCUGAAAAUGAAAUAAUUAUUAGUUUCCAAUAAACAAAUAAACUUGUUUACUACCAAUACGUAUUAAGAAGUUUGUCUUAAGUUUGUUGUUACAUUUAAUUGGUAGUGUAUGGAGUGGAGUCGGGCUCUCAUAUACCGUAUUUGUAUUUUAGACACCGAAUUCACACUUACCGUAUUUGGCAAUUGCUUACCGUAUUUGGUAGUGCAACUCACCGUAUUUGGCAGUGCAACUCAACGUAUUUGCAACUCACCAUAUUUGACAGUGCAACUCACCGUAUAUAGCAGCUUACUGCAUUUGCAGGCUAAGCUCACCGUAUUUGCACAAAAAUUUGCAUAAAGUGUUUUUAUUCAUACACUAACUAAACUAACACAAAUUUUUCUACUUACAAAUAGAAAUACCGUAUAUGUAAAAUCUAUUUUUCACACAUAAUGAAUUACAAAAAAAAACAGUUUAUUUUAUUUAUCUCUUUCUAACAUAAAUUUCAAGUAUGUUGCAAAUUAAAUAAAUAAAUCUACAAAAUUACAAACUAAAUAAAUAGCAGAUAUAAUUUCAACCCGAGGCUUGUGUAAACAUAGUUUCCUUAAGACAAAUUCGCCCCCUCACCGUGGUACUAGAGCUUUAGUUCGAGCCCCUAUCUCCCAGGAUACAGCGAUAAUCAGCAGAACCCAAGCACUGCAAUUCUACUCAAGCGAAUUGGGCGAGUGUUCGAACAAUAUCACCUUACUGAAAUGAGACGGAACAAAACAGAAAACAGGCUGGAAAUUGCAAACGAAAAUUUUCAGUGUAUGAACUGCUGGAAAUUAAGUGAAUUAUAUAGAUUGAAUCUGAUAAUUAGUUUCUGCAUUAACCAUUGCAGUUUUUGGAGUUACACUUCAGUUUCGACCAUUGGAGUUUUAGGGGUUUCAGACACUCAAAAGUCAUUUGGGAAAACCACAAAAAAAUUGCAAAACACGGACAGUCCAAACUGGCCAGUUUUUGCUCCGUUCGGUCCGACAUUCGUAUGCGCAGGUUGCAGUCACACUCAAGUUCGAGGUCCGAAAGCUAUUUCUGUCCGUGAUUUUCACCCCCUGCGCGGGCACGUGGAGAGAGCCUCUAUGCUACACAUGAUCACACUAUUCCAAUGCAUAACCAUAUAUAAAGUGGUUUUGAUUUCCAUGUUUUUCCAAUGUGGGACAAAGUUUUCCCACCAACAUAGAUCAUUUCCAAUGGUUCACUUUAGACUCCAAUUUCUCAUUCACCUGAGCUUCAUUUUUGGUAAAUAAAUACAUGAUUUCGAUGUUCUCGCGGAGAAUAACACAUAUCAACUUUGAUAUUCCAAAUUGGAUCAACGGAUCCCACCAAAAAUUGUGCCAAAAGUGAGCCAAUUCACUCAUUUUUCCAACAUAGUCAUCACCUUAUAUUGGCUUCCUUUGGAUGUUUUUACUCUCUUGAGAAAAGGAGAUAAGUUUGUCAACAGAACUUCUACACAACCCUCUUUAAGUUUUCUGAUCAUAUUCGACCAUCCAUUAUUCGUAUACAGUGUAUUCUACAAAACACAUACAAGUAUAGGACACACAUAAGUUGCCAUAUACUUUUUCUUUCUUUUCAAUUCCUAGACCUUUUUGUUAUUUUCUUCAAAAAAAAAUUGAACUCUGAUAUUCACUACAUAAAACAUUUAAAGAGAGAAAGAAGUUCACAAAGUAUGAUGAUUAAAAAUGGGUUAAUUUCAUAAGCUGUAACUGAACUUAAUCGAAAAUCUUAAGACGGUCAUUGAAGUUUAAAACUUGCAGCAACGGUCACUGAACUUAUGGGCGCUUUCAGUAACGGUCACUGAUGGACCAAAACACGUGAAUUGGAUCCUUGGGGACCUCAAGUGUAAAUUUCAUCUAAUUUAAUUUGCUUAAAAUCUGCCCUUGAAAUUUAGAAAUCUGGCCAAAUUCCUCCCACUUUCACCAUUUUUUGCCGGAACCGGAAUUUGUCAAAUUCGACCACCAUACCGCCAAAUAAAUCACCUGAUUUUUACACCACCAACACCUCCUCAUCCCCUUCCACAAUCCCAUUCCAACAACCAACCAAAACACAUCAAAAAUCACAUGAAAUUCAAGUUCAAAAAAACCAUCCCCACCCAUGGUUUUACCACCAAUUUCGGCCAAUUUGAGAUAAAUUGGUGAGGGCCCAUAUGUGCAUCUUGUUUGCCAUGAUGAUGUUGACGCCGAUGCCAAAAAUUGGGGAGGAAAGUUCAUUGUCGCGGCCUUCGAAUUGGUACGGGUUAGAUUUUGAUUUAAAUUGUUUUGUUAUGGCAUGGAACCAUGUACCUGUUCAUCUUGGGGAGUACUAACAGCCUGUGAUGGAGUUUUGGUAUGGGUGAUGGUGGAUUGGCUGGAAUUGGAGAUAAAAUCGUGUGUGUGUAUGGUUUUUCGAACUUGAAUUUCGCCAUGAUUUUUGAUGUGUUUUGGUUGAUUGUUGCUAUAGGAUUGUGGAGGAGGUGCUAGUGGUGUAAAAGUCCGGUGCUUUAUCCUGCAGUAGGGUGGUCAAUUUUGGCUUUGAAUCCGCCGGCGUUGGAGAAGAAAGCUUGAAAGGGAGAAAAAAAUUGUCUAAAGAGUGAUUUGGUCCUCAAGGUUUGAUUUUCACGUGUUUUGGUCCUUCAAGUUUGAAUGAAAAUCAUAAUGGGCCUUCGGUGACCGUUUCUAAAAGAAAAUGUAACUUCAGUGACCGUUGCUGCAAGUUUUAAACUUCAAUGACCGUUUUGAGAUUUUCGGUUAAGUUCAAUAACCGUUUGUGAAAUUAGCCCUUAAAAAAUUGUAUUUAUUCUUAUUUUUUCUUAUCAUCUACAAUUGUAUGCUAUGUUGUAGUGGAAAAAAACAAAUGGAGAGACAGCUGGUAGAUUACCAUAGUGAUCACUUUGGAGGCUUCAAAAUAUCAGAUGGAAUUGACGAUCAAAUCAGAGAUAAAAGCAGACAUCCUCUCAUUCCAAAGAUCUUCUUGAUUACCAAGUUCAAGCCUUUUACAGUUCAUAGAAAUAAGAUAUUACAUUUGUAUUGUCUUUCUUUUUCUUGUCUUGGUUCCAUCAAUGUCAUCUAUAUCUUCUUUUGGAUCAUAUGCAGCUAAGGCAAAUACAAUCUAAUACUACAAAGUUAGAUGAUAAAAGCAACAGCUAGAUGUUAAUU
rnacentral:lncRNA from 1 species